ensembl:lncRNA
UGGAUUUGGUUUGGCCAUGGGUUAAAAUGGUAUACUAUAUUAUAUUAUGUUUAUUUAUAUAGUAGACUCAAAACAUUCUAUUUGUAUUAUACCAUUGAUAUAGGUUUUUCUGUAGUAUAGCUCCGUUGCAUAGCAGGUUUCAAUGAGAGGGAAUUUGACCUUCCUAAGUUGAUCUUAUGGCAGUGUUUCACUGUGCUGUAUUUGGUAUGGAGUAUAGCAUAGUGUGUCAAGUGCAUCAACCUACAAAAUCCUCUUUGGGAGCGGCACAAAGUUAACCGUUGAAGCAAGUAAGUUUCAAAUGUAUCAGGCAGUAACAAUUUGCAAAAUGCUUCCCAUUGUCACUGCUAUAAGACCUGCAUGUAGUUGAUUUACAUUCUGAAAGGUUAAGAAAGGGUUUAAAAAUGCACAAUAAAUGUAUAUCUGAAUAUACAACUAGUAGGACCAAAGACAUUUGAAUCCAACCUGACUGAGAAUAUAAUAGUCAAGCAUGGGCAGAGUGCUAUUUGCUGCAUUUUCCUUGUCUUUGUCUGGGCUAGGCUUCAUAGAGUAGUUUGUGAUAUGGUGAGUGUGACAGUGUGUCUGGCAACAACAAGCUCAUUUUUGGUAGUGGCACUGCAGUGCUUAUCAACCCAAGUAAGUCCCACUUUAAUCAAAAGAUAAAGUGCUGUUUUGGAUAACAACAUAAGAAAUGUCCAGGAGUUAAAAUGUAUGCGUUGGCAUUGCAUUCACGAGGAGUUAAAAAUAAUCCCUUAGCCUUCCAUUAACAGCAUAAGAGACAUACUGUUAAGAUCAUAUUUAAGAGAUAAUAAGUGUCUUACAUUUGUAUCCCUUUGAAUGAGUUGUAAGGAUUCAGUGCUACGUAUUUGUCAUGGUGUUUAGCUUAGUGUGACUUCAAGUUCUGGAAACUACAAGCUCAUUUAUGGAAGUGGUACUAAGCUCAUUGUUAAGUCAAGUGAGUUGAAAAUUGCUUUCUUCUUUGAAAUUUUUUCAUCCUUACUAUUGAAAUAAUUCUAUGAAUUGACUAUUGGUGCCCCUAUGAUUUGUGAGAUGUAAUUAGAGGUCUUGUGGACAAUGUUUGUGUAUUCCAGCGCAGAUCUACCUUGUGUCAAUAUUCCGCAGUUUGAAACGAGAUAUGUAUUUAAGAUGGAUGACUGAUUAGAUAGGGUUUUAUGUGUGAUACAAGACAAAGAACCCUCAAAAAUGCUUUUAGAAAUUCGUUUUACGAAUAUAACUGGUUGUUGAAUGAAUUGUAAUGAUUCAGUGCUACAUAUUUGUCAUGGUGUUUAGCUUAGUGUGACUACUAGUUCUGGAAACAACAAGCUCAUUUAUGGAAGUGGUACUAAGCUCAUUGUUAAGUCAAGUGAGUUGAAAAUGGCUUUCUUACUAUUGAAAUAAUUCUAUGAAUUGACUAUUGGUGCCACUAUGAUUGCAUUUGUAAUUAGAGGUCUUGUGGACAAUGUGAGAUGUAUUUAAGAUGGAUGACUGAUUAGAUAGAGUUUUAUGUGUGAUACAACACAUAGUGUGAGGACUUCAUCAGAUAAAAUUGUCUUUGGGCAUGGAACUCAGCUCUAUGUAGAAACAGGUGAGAAUACAUCAUUAAUAGUGAUAUUAAUUGUAAAUUAUUUGGAUAACUGAAGAAUUUAAUAUCAACAAUUUAAGAUUUGAAAAUCAUACAAGCGUUAUACCAGCCACAUACUUGACAGAAGUUGUGACUACAUUAUUGUAAUGUUAUGUGGUGUGAAUACUGGCACUGUUGGAAAAGUCAUCUUUGGCCAAGGUACCAGGCUUAAUAUUGAAACACGUAAGUACAUUUCUGUUAGCAGGAUGAUUAUCACUUAUCUGAGUGAACAGUAUGUAAUGUCAAAAAUUACUAUGAAUAUACGACUUUCUGUUAAAUAUACUGUGAAUGGGACACUAUAACAUGGGCACAUGCUAUAUAUAUGCCAUCUUUCUGUUAAAUAUACUGUGAAUGGGACACUAUAACAUGGGCCCAUGCUAUAUAUAUGCCAUCUUUGUGUUAAAUAUACUGUGAAUGAGACACUAUAACAUGGGCACAUGCUAUAUAUAUGCCAUCUUUGUGUUGGUUGCAACAAAAAGGAACCCUCAAAAAUGCUUUUUAAAAGUUAGGGUAAGGAAUAUUACUGUAAUGUCAAAAAGUUUGAAGUGCAACAAAAUUGCAAGAAUGUCAUGCACUACGUUUCAUGGUAUUUGACAUGAUGUCAGUCUUGGUGUGAAUCAAGGAACUGGCAAGAUUAUUUUUGGCAGUGGAACCAAAGUGAUUGUGGAAUCACGUGAGUUUCAGAUAUUUUGUUUUAUUAAGACUGUACUGGUAAUCAAAUUUAAAAUCUCGGCUCAUAAUGAGCAUACUUAAAUGCUGUUUAACAGUAAAAGGGGUUUGCGCAGUACUGUCCAGAUCGUAAUAUGAUGUGACAUGGUUGUUGUUUUGGUAUUAAUAUCGUACGAAAUGGCAAAUGGCAAUAUCAGACAUUAUAUGUUCUUGGAACGUUUUAUAGUGUGUAGAAUUAAGCAUGCAGUAUGCACACUGUUUAAUGUGCCUUAGUGCAACACUGUGGGUUAGCUGACUCUACUGGAAGAGUGUUCUUUGGUCGUGGAACAAAACUUUCAGUUAGUCCAAGUGAGUACGCAACUAUUCCUGAAGUUUAUAUACUAAACGUAUUAAUUGGUUGUUUUUGAAUUUUUUCCGAAAGUUUAUGGUGUGGUGACAUAAACUAAUAACUAAAGCCUUAUCUGUAUAAUUAGCCUUCCAGUUGCAUUACAUUCCUAAUUUUUUUUCAUUUUGUAUACCUGAGAUAAAUAUGUCUGUGACCAUGCACUGUUGUGGGUGGCCAAACAAUGAAGCAGUUGAAUGCCUUAGUGACUACCAUCACUAGUUAAAUACCAGUGAUGUAAAAACCCUUCAGGUAGGAUGGCUUACAGAUAACAAUUCUGACUAUUGCUGAACAAUUUAACAAUACCCCAAUGAAAAAUUCAUCAGGGGUCUUUAAAAGCUUUUUGGAGGAGAUGUAUGUAGUUUUUGAUGUGGUCUAUACUUCAGUGUGACUACUGGAGGCUAUGAAAAAAUCAUAUUUGGUAGGGGCACUAAACUGACUGUGGAAUCACGUAAGUUUUAUUUAAUUUUGCUCCCACUUCAGUUCAUUUUGAAUGUUUCCAGAUAAACAAUGAAAUAUGAAUGAUAUUUUAUGUUUAAAACUCACUCAGGUUGAAAUAUCCAGAGUAUAGGUUGUCAAAAUGUCAUGAUGCUAUGUAGGUCCAAAGUAAGCCAUAUAUAAAUAUAAAGCUCACGUGAGGAUAUUCGCAUAUGUCAAGACAGUACAUUACUAUUUACCUUUACAGCAGUAUGUUUGGUUCAGAUGCUAAUUGAUAGCCAGCAGGCAUGAUUUGCCUUCACCCAAGUUAAUGUAGUGAGGGAGAAUGUUGUGUGUAUUCUGGUGGUAAACUUACCUUUGGCCGUGGAACUAAACUAUUUGUUUAUUCUGGUGAGUUACCUUUGUAUAGCUUGCCUUUCGAUGUCUCUUUUCAUAUUUUCUCACAUAGUCACCUGCCAGUUCUUUUAGUUAGACCACUAGUAUAUUUGUAUAUAUUGAAUUAGUUCCCUAAAGAAGACAAAUUCUUCUUAUCUCAACAGAGGUCUGCAUAGAUAGAAAAGGAGUGUAAAAAUGAAAUGCUUCAGACGCAAUUAAUAAGAUACUUUUAUAAUAUUGAGGAUAUUUUUUAUAAAAUCAGGUCGAUGAGUUUGUAGUAUUCUUCACAGAGCUGUUUUCCAGAGUGAGACCAAAGGUGUUAAUGUAGUCAGGUAUAGUGCUGUGUGGAUGCUGGUGGUAGUAGGAAAGUCAUCUUUGGGAAGGGGACCAAACUUUUAAUUCAGACAAGUAAGUGACCAGUAUGGACUAGGUAUUCGUGCUACUGUCAUGUAGUUGAAUUCCUUUCCUGUUUUAUUACCAACAUUUAAUGUUGGAAUUGGAACAAAAUAUUUAUCCGUGUUAAGAAAACCAACACAGGUUUAGAGACUGGUGGAUGAGUCUGUGUGAAUAAUGCUGGCACUAAGAUUGUCUUUGGGAAAGGGACUCGCCUUCUAGUGCAACAAAGUAAGCAAUGUUUUACAUAUCUAAGAUACAUACUGUAUUAUGUGUGAUUCAUAGGAUAUACUCUAUUAAGGGAAAUACAUUUAGGGCAUUACAGUGUGGUAGAAAACACUGUAUUAGUACAAAAAUAUAUGUAUUGACAGAUGGCUAAACUGUAUACUGGUUCUCCAUAUUAUGCUAUCAAAGAGGUUUAUAGAUGAGCAAGUUACCUGAUUCUAUUCUAUUAUUAAUCCGUAUUAAAGGGAGAGAGGUUGCGGUAACCUUCUGUUGGGUUUUUGGUAUGAUGUAUUUCUUAGUGUGAAUAACCAGGGAUAUAAGAUCAUUUUUGGUCAAGGAACUAAAUUGACUGUGGAACCAGGCAAGUAAUCACACAAAAUCACAGAAAUUCAAUAUAUACUGUAUAUUCUAGAAUUUCUAGAAACUUUAGAAUAGAUGCCAGAUGCCAACUUCUACCUGAAAUCGCUCCUUAUUUUUCAAAACCUUAAAUCAUUGUAGCUCCUGGGAGAAAACUCUUUAAUUUGACAAAGUGUUACUAUCACAAUUGGAUGAAAAUAAAUCAUUUCUCAGCAGUUUGAUAACCUGUCAAAAUGUUUAGUUUACAUAUUACUAUGUCAGAAUUUAAAUGUAAAUAUCUAAUCUAAAUAUAUACAUUUAAAUUCUCACAAAAUAGCUUAAAAGUAUUUACAUGAUCCAAUGUAUGUAUGUGUUGUCGAUAGUUCUGGGUUUUUGGCAUGGUCUUCUACUUUGUGUGACUACUCAGGGAGGAUAUAAGAUCUUUUUUGGUCGAGGAACUAAACUUACUGUUGAAUCAGGCAAGUGAAAUACAAAUACAUCUCUUACUUUGUAUAUGAGGGAAUUGUGUAUACAGGGAUGAGGUAUUGGUUGUGUACUAAUGCACUGUGUGACAAGUGGAUCUUCAAACAAGCUGACUUUUAGCAAAGGAACAAAGCUUUUUAUCCACACCAGUAAGUGGAUGCACAAACUCUUUGAAUGAUUCAAUAGCAGUAGAACAUGAAUAGAACAAUAUUACGUAUGUCAAGAGAAAGAUUUUUGAGUUGAAAGAUAUCUCAACUUUGCCAUACCAUACUCUUCAGUUUACAUGCUUUUAGCAUACAAAGAGUGAUACAAAUGAGAAAUCAAUUAAUAAAAAGAGAACUUUGAUUACAUGAUGAUAAUUAUAUUAGUGAUGUGGAUUGAAAAAGAAAGAAUUUGGGUUUUAUGUGCCAUGGGUUUUUGGCAUGAUGUCUUCCUUAGUGUGACUAACCAGGGAAAUAAGUUCAUUUUUGGUCAAGGAACUAAACUGACGGUCGAACCAGGCAAGUCAAAUUCACAAAAUCACUAAAUGUCUGCAAACAGGGACAUGUUCUGUUCAGGCUGUUCUUGUUAAGAGGGUUUAUGGAAAGACAUUAUACUCCUUGUAGUGGAGGAAUAUACACUCUUAAUGGGACAAAGGUAGUACAUUGUUAGAGUAAUAGAACAUGAAUUGAACUAAAGUAUGCAUUAAGAAGGAACAGCCAACCAACUGCCAGACUACCAUUAAAAUAAGUCUUUUUAAAUCCUUGUUUCAAAAUUAAAUUAAAUUACGAAAGUAACUUCUAAACUAUUACUAAAGGCCGGAUAAACAUAUUUUUCAAAAAAAUUGCAUGAUACAAAGUGUGUAAGUGUUGUCGAUAGUUCUGGGUUUUUGGCAUGGUGUCGUUCUUAGUGUGACUCAGGGAGCACAGAAGAUCAUUUUUGGUCGAGGAACUAAACUGACUGUGGAAUCAGGCAAGUGCAAUCCCAAUAAAUCUCUUAAUUUAGAUGUGAGGGAAAUCGCCAGGAGGAUUAGGUAUUUGUUUUGAAGGCACUGUGUAGAUUGUAGACAAGCUGACCAUUAGGUAAGGAGCAAAGCUUUUUAUCCUAACCAAAAAUUCACAACAUUUCAAGAUUAGUCAGAACUUAUAUCUAGCUAAAUAUUAAGAAUAACUCCAUGUGAUAGAACAUAAUGAAGUCAUCCUGACAAGCACGACUUAAGACAGAACAGACUGAAAAACUGUUUGAAAUUAAUGUAAGUAAUUGUGGAAUGUGAAUCAAGUCAGAGUGGGAGCAACUAGCCCUGUUUUUGUAGUCAGAUAUAUUGCAGUGUGAAUACUGGUAGUCAGGGAAGAGUCUUCUUUGGACGUGGAACUAAGCUCAUUGUCCAAACAAGUAAGUCACAAGCUAAGCAGUAUUAUUUUCUUCUUUUUUUCUUUUUGCAGUGAAGAAAAUGUACUUUUCUAACUAAGAAUGCCAACCCCAAAUGUAGUUAAAAGAUAUACACAUCUAUAUCAAAUACACGUAUUAAUUACGUAUUAAAUGUAUCUAAGUGUAGUGUUUAUAAAUGUGAAUGCUAUUGAGAUGUAUGAGACAUUUUUUUAAAUUGUAAUUGUCAUAAUAGCGUUACUCAAACCAAAAUGUAUAUAAACCAACAAUUAACUGAACGAUCAAGUCUUUAUAAACUAUUACUAAAAAACAUCAUAAAAGUAUUUUCUCCACUUAAAAGCUUAAAAAUAUAACAUAUGUAGUCGAUAGUUCUGGGUUUUUGGCAUGGUGUCUUACUUAGUGUGACUGAUCAGGGAGGAAGGAAGAUCAUUUUUGGUCGAGGAACUAAACUGACUGUGGCAUCAGGCAAGUGAAAUGUCAUGAAAUAUCUUAAUUGUAUAUGAGAGAAAUGGGCAUACAGGUUUGAGGUAGUUAUUGUGUAUUAAGGCAAUGUGUAGCUGGUGGAUUUGCAGCAAAGCUGACCUUUAUCAAAGGAACAAAGCCUUUCUUUUCAGGCCAAUUAGUGGACAUGGAUUUGUUAUGAUUUAGUUGUAGUGUUUCAGGAUUUAGUGCAUUAAUAUCUAUCAUUACUAACAGAUCAAUUCCAUUUUAUUUUAGCAUUUUUGCUAUUAGCAGAUGCUCAUCAAACAGGCUAGACAGUAUAAAUACAACAUUUUAUUGUAUAUGUGGAAACAUUUUGUGUAGAUUAAAACAUAGGUCGUCCUUAAGAAUGAAAUCCUUAAGGUGUUCUUGUCAUGAUGCUGCAUAAUGUGUGACUGCUGGGGGUGGAUCUGGCAAGCUUAUCUUUGGAAGUGGCACCAAAUUACUAAUUGAAUCAAGUGAGUAUUCUGUAGAUGUUUUGUAGUUCUCCUGGUUCUUUGUUAUAUAAUACUAUUGACAUCCGACAAAAUCCCAAGUUUCUGUGAAAUGAAAGUCCUAUAAUAACACUGCAUCACAAUGCACUGAAAAUCAUCAAUUAAUCAAAAAUGCAAAUCAUCUUAAGUAGUAUCAUCUUUAGUAAACUAAAGCGUCUACUGAAUACUACAACCAUAACCAUAAACAAAUUAUGUAAGGAGUAUGUUAUGUGCUUUGGAUUGGAAGAGCAGCUCUUGUAAUUUUUGAUAAGCCAUUACCCAGUGUGUGAAUGAAGAUUAUCUUUGGAAGGGGAACCACUGUACUUGUACAAACAAGUAAGCCUAAUUUACUUUUUCACAACAUGCAUCGGAUUUGGACGUUGGUUAGAUAAAUGGUGGAAAGUUGAAAUUACAAUGGACAAUUCAUUUGUACAAUUAAUGUACAGAUUGUAACUCAUAAUAUUAAAUAUUCAAGUUUAUGUAGUCAGGUAUGACACUGUGUGACUACUAGUAAUCAGGCAAAACUUCUCUUUGCUCAUGGAACCAAAGUCAUUGUCCAAACAAGUAAGUAUGUUAUAAACAAUUAUAAUGGUAUAUUCUUAGGAACUUUACUGUUGCUCUUCCCUAUUAAUGUUAAAAGUUUAACUUUUACUUCUACAAAGAAUCCAGACCUGAUAGAGAAAUGGUAAAUAUAGAUUUGACAAAGCCCUGGUUGCACAAUGCAGUAUAAAUAUGUAUACAUUUCAUUGUGUAUGUCAGGAGCUAUUUGAGAUAGAUUAAAACAUAGGUCGUCCUUAAGACUCCUUGUGAGGUGUUCUUGUCAUGAUGCUGCAUGAUGUGUGAAUUCUGGUAGUGGAAAUGGCAAGCUUAUCUUUGGAAGUGGCACCAAAUUACUAAUUGAAUCAAGUGAGUAUUCUGCACCAAUUUUUUUAUGACAAUAGAGCAGUCAAUAGUAUUUGUUGUGAAGUUUUUAGUAGUGUGACUACUGGAGGUGGACUUGCUAAGCUUAUUUUUGGAAAUGGCACAAAGCUGAUAAUUGAGAAAAGUAAGUUGUUUACACCCUUGUUUGUUUUCUUAUUUAGCAGUAAGAUAGAUGCCAUAAAACGUUUGAUAGAGAAAUAUGUAUUUGAAUAUCUUUGAAUAUGAAUGUUUUCUAAUUAUAUCUACAAAAUUAGCAUAAACCAAGGUAUCUUGUGAUGAGAGCUUUGUGCAAAAGUACAUGCAUAAGCCUGGUUUUUGCUGGGAUGCCCCAUAUUGUGUAACUACUGGACUGAAGAAAAUAAUCUUUGCAACCGGAACCAAACUAGCUGUCUUUUCCAGUAAGUACUUUUACAAAAUUCUACUGAUCCACUAGUGUAGAUUGUUGGUCAAAAUAGCAAAAAUUUGUGUUAAUUUCAGACUUCAGAUUUCCCCAUUUGCCUUGAAGUAUAUGUGUGAGACUAAAGUACUGUGUGACACAGAACACCAACAAAAUGAUCUUUGGAACUGGUACAAGGCUGAUUGUUGGCAACAGUAAGUGUGAGUUCUGUUGAAUUAUCAAGUU